CUAGCGCACGCAGGAGACGUGUCGCACGUAAAGGGUUGGAGCGCAAUGACGUCGCCGCUGCGGAUUGGCGGAGCGGGUUUGCAGGGGGAAGGAGGAGCCUAAGGAGCCCUAGGCUGGCUCUGCGGCGGAAUUGCAGCGCUGGUGUCAGGAAGCCUGUUGAAACUGCGUGCCUGGCUCAGAGACCUGGGAAAGCCCGAAACGUCUGCGGUGGAGAGGGGACUCGAAGCCCGGGAAUGGCCGAGACAUCCAACAUUGUCCAUUAACCAGUCACACACAUCGAUUGAUUAAUCUGUCCAAUAUAACGUGUUUUCCUCCUGAGGAAAUGUAGAAAAUUUGUAAACUACCGAAAAUUAUUGGGAAUAAAAACAAUGCCAGUUCUCA